rnacentral:rRNA from 1 species
UACGUAGGGGGCAAGCGUUGUCCGGAUUUAUUGGGCGUAAAGAGCGUGUAGGCGGCCUGAAAGGUCAGCUGUGAAAACUCGAGGCUCAACCUCGAGACGUCGGUUGAAACCAUCUGGCUAGAGUCCGGAAGAGGAGAGUGGAAUUCCCGGUGUAGCGGUGAAAUGCGCAGAUAUCGGGAAGAACACCCGUGGCGAAGGCGGCUCUCUGGGACGGUACUGACGCUGAGGCGCGAAAGCGUGGGGAGCAAACGGG